GGAUCGUUUACUUUGAAAAAAUCAGAGUGUUUCAAGCAGGCAGCUCGCUCUUGCAUGGAUUAGCAUGGGAUAAUGAAAUAGGACUUUGGUGCUAUUUUGUUGGUUUCGAACGCCGAGGUAAUGAUUAAUAGGGACAGUCAGGGGCACUCGUAUUCCGUAGAGAGAGGUGAAAUUCUUAGACCCACGGAAGACGCACUACUGCGAAAGCAUUUGCCAGGGAUGUUUUCACUGAUCAAGAACGAAAGUUAGGGGAUCGAAGAUGAUCAGAUACCGUCGUAGUCUUAACCAUAAACCAUGCCGACCAGGGAUUGGUGGUUGUCAUCUUUGACUCCAUCAGCACCUUUCGAGAAAUCAGAGUCUUUGGGUUCCGGGGGGAGUAUGGUCGCAAGUCUGAAACUUAAAGAAAUUGACGGAAGGGCACCACCAGGAGUGGAGCCUGCGGCUUAAUUUGACUCAACACGGGAAAACUUACCAGGUCCAGACAUAGUG
rnacentral:rRNA from 14 species